UAUAUACUCCCUCCGUCCGGAAAAGCUUGUCCCUCAAAUGGAUGUAUGUAGCACCAAGUUAGUGCUAGAUACAUCCAUUUGAGGGACAAGCUUGGGACAAGCUUUUUCGGACGGAGGGAGUAUGAA
rnacentral:pre_miRNA from 1 species